GAUGAAGUGGCCGAGUAGGUGGUGGGUUGUAGCCCCAAUUACGGAGGUUUAAAUCCUCCCUUCAUCA
rnacentral:tRNA from 1 species